AUAACUAAGCAAUGGAAAUUCCAACCAGCAAUGGAGAAUUAAUAAAUCUUUGUGAUGACAGCAAGCAGAGUGACGCUGAUGUAAAUUUGAACGAAGAAAAUGACCUGGUUAAGGUAUCUUUCAUUGAUGUCGAUGAUAUGUAUCCGACAGAUUGCGAUCUCAGAUGUCGCUAUUCCUUCAAAACUGCAUUCGUACACCCAAAUCCAGGAGAUAGAAUAGCAAUAUUCAAAGUUGGAUGGAAGCAUGUUACAGAAUACUAUCUUUUCAAGAUGGUUAAAGUGCCAGCUGAAGAACACGUGCUUGCCUGUCAACGAAUAUGUUUCUCCGCUCCAGUCCUGCCAAAGAAUGUGAAGGAUCUCUACCAACUUUGUUAUCUAACACAUGAUAAUCUGGUGCUCGGAGCUAGCCCACCCUUCAGCUUCUAUAACGCGUCCGCUCAGGAACUGGUGUGUGUUGAAGACAAAGCCUGCCAAGAGGUCAUGAUCUACAAAUCUCGUUUGUCUGUGCUCCAUGAUCGUGUUGGAAGAGUUGAAGAUGAAAAAGAGCUGUCGGACUUGAAAGCGUAUGCGUUUGGCUCUCGCCUGAAGCAAGUAGAGCAGGAGCUGGCCUCCUCAAGAAAAGAGAUUCAGGCCAUCUCGUCUUGGUCUGCUUCAACGCAGGAAGAACUAGAGAAACAGAAGAGAGCAAACUUAGAGCUAUCCAAACUGCUUAAUGAAGAGCAUGGCAGUUGUGGCACUAAACUUACUGAAUUAGAAAAACAAUUAGCAAUCAAGACUGAAAAGCUUGAAGCACUUGAAGAACAGCUGUGCAAGGAAGAUGAAGAGAAGAAAAGACUUAAUUCUGGAAUAGACACUUUGACUGCAAAGUGUAUCGAGAAUGAGAAUCUUCUAAAAGAAUUGAACCAAUACAAUGAGACUCUCAAGAAAGAGCUAGAUGCAACAAAAUUGGAAAUGGCAUCGUCUUUGGAGGAUCGUCAACAUCAAACAGAAAAAGAGAAUUACCUUCUUGAAGCCAAUUUUCGACUUGAGAAAGAUAAUACAAAGCUGGUCGAUAUGCUGGCAGACCUUGGAAUCCCAGACUGGUUACCGAGUGGAUUAAAUGCUGAUAAGACUCCGGCACUCGACGGGUGUGGCUCGCAAACUUCAACUGCAGACUCCAGUGAAUGUGCAGUGAACACCAAGGAUAUUCAAGGAUUAGUUGAUGAUUCAAUGCUGAAUAAGCAAUUAUUGGAAAAGUGUCAGGAAGAGAUAAAGAGUCAUGAAAACGAAAAAAUGGACUUGAAAACUAGGGUUGAGGUACUGGAGAGUGAACGUGACAUGGAAAAAGAAGGCUUGAUGAAGCUUGUGUCCGAUCUGCGCUCAGCCCUUCUAAAGAUGCCAGGAUUGGAAGAACAAUGGAAACUACUACUGGAGUCUGCCCGUGUAUUGGCAAGCAGAAAUUUCAAAUCAGUGAUCGAUGGCAUGACAUUGGGAGAUGAGUAUCCAAGCACAGAGGCGCGCAACUUGAUAGACAGUCUUUGCAUAACUGCUCAAUGUUACGAUUCGCUGCUCGUAGACCAUAGAAUCAAGUCGAAGGAGCUCGAAAAACUCACUGAUCUCUAUAAAAAACUCGAGGAGAAUAAUGAUAAUUUGAAGAAAAAAGUUACUGAGUUGGAAGAAACUUCAAAAGAGCUCAACAGUUGUUUUUCAGCAAUAAAAAAAAACAGUUUCGAUUCAGACGCAGUAAAUUUGAGACGACAAUUGACUGAAGCUACAAAGAAAGCUGCCGAACUGGAGAGGGAGUUGAAGGAGAUGAAAUCAGCAAAGGCGUUGUCAGCUAUUGGGCAGGUCACAAUCACCUCCGCUCUUUCAUCUUCUAGCUCCAACAAUAAAUGCACCCAAUGUACCUCGUCAAAUAAUGAUAAGGCACCUCAAGAGUCACAAGAGCAGGUUGAGAAAUUGCAACGUUUUAUGAAAAAAUCUGCUGUUGAAUAUGCAAAGUUGUACCACAAAUUCUUGUUGGAGCGACAAAUGAGGUUGAAAAUGGGAGAUGCUAUCAAGACAGACCUCAAUCAAGAGCUGCCCUCAUCUCAAAAACCUGAUGUCUAAUUGGCUUCCUUACACAUAUUUCGACUUGAAGCCAUGAAACGUAUUUUAAUAGAGGAUUAUUAGUACCUGUUUCAGUGAAAUUGAUUAAAAGCUUCCAGAACUAUACCAGGACCAGCCAUUCACAUUGCGAUCCACCUCGAAGAAAUUGCAUUCAUGCAGACGAGUAGGCCUACAUCAGAUGUACCUACUGAGUAGCUAUUUUCAAGGCAUCCGGUAAACCUACACCAGCGCUAGGAUUGUUUUGGCAAAUAUUCAAAUGGACGUUUUUCAGGAAACAGCCCCGAAUUAUAUGUAUUUUGGGGCGCUGAGUUCAAUUUUGAAAUUUGCUGACAUGCCAGAGGGCGGCUUCACCCCUAAAAACCCUCAAAUUUUGGGACUUUUUUCAAUCUUUCCAUUUUUUUUUUUUUUUUGAAAAAAAAAACAUUCCCUACAAAAUUAAAGACAAUAAAAUAUCUAAUAAAUUGAGUGGUCGCGCUGGUUUCUCAGAUUUCUGUUUCUGGAUCUACAAAUUUUCAAAAAAGGGGUAUUUUCAAGGAAUUUUUGAAAAUUACAGGCUACGCCCUGUUGUUUCAAUUAGAUGAAUCUUUCGGA
rnacentral:misc_RNA from 1 species